rnacentral:lncRNA from 1 species
UGGGGAAGCGGCGGCAGGCGCCAUGUCCGGCCGCGAAGGAAGAUAAGGCUUUCAAGCAGAAACAAAAAGAGGAGCAGAAGAAACUCGAGGAGCUAAAAGCGAAGGCCGCGGGGAAGGGGCUCUUGGCCAUAGGUGGAAUUAAGAAAUCUGGCAAAAAGUAAGCUGUUCCUUGUGCCUGAGGAGAUGGUGACCCUUUAUUUCAUCUGUAUUUAAACCUCUCUAUUCCCUGCCAUAACAUCUUUUGCCACGUAUAGCUGGAAUUAAGUGUUGUCUUGGAGCUGUUGUACAUUUAAGAAUAAACUUUUGUAAAA